UGCGCAGGCGGAACUAUCAGUCAGUGGUGAAAUCCCGGGGCUCAACUCCGGAACUGCCAUUGAUACUGUAGGUCUUGAGUUUGGUUGAAGUGGGCGGAAUGUAGCAUGUAGCGGUGAAAUGCAUAGAUAUGCUACAGAACACCGAUCGCGAAGGCAGCUCACUAAACCAAAACUGACGCUCAGGCACGAAAGCGUGGGUAGCGAACAGGAUUAGAUACCCUGGUAGUCC
rnacentral:rRNA from 1 species